UACGGAGGGUGCAAGCAUUAAUCGGAUUUAUUGGGCGUAAAGGGCGCGUAGGUGGAUAUACAAGUUAGAUGUGAAAGCCCUGGGCUCAACCUAGGAAUGGCAUUUAAAACUGUAAAUCUAGAGGGUAAGCGGAGAAAAUGGAAUUCCACGUGUAGCGGUGAAAUGCGUAGAUAUGUGGAAGAACACCGGUGGCGAAGGCGAUUUUCUAGUUUAUACCUGACACUGAGGCGCGAAAGCAAGGGGAGCAAACAGG
rnacentral:rRNA from 1 species